AAACGCCUCCCUUCCGGCUUUUAUUUCUCUUAGUUUAUAGUCUCCAUUGAAAAGCACAAGCAAUAACUUUCAAGAAUUCUUAGCUUACCCCUCCAAAGCUUUUUUUAACUUUUUAUGGUUCUCCCAUUUAUCCUUGAAGAAACUUUAUACAAACUUCAAAUUUAUACUUAUAUUUAUUAGGGGGGAUACCUGUACCAGCUUUGUAUUUGGAAUAGUCCCAUUCAAUGUGUUCAAUAUUCUUUCAACUUUGGGGUUGAAUUAUUAUUAUUAUUUUCCAUGCAAUUGUAAGUUCCGUUUCGU
rnacentral:lncRNA from 1 species